GGCGUAGGCGGCUUGGCAAGUCAGAUGUGAAAUCCCAGGGCCCAACCCUGGAACUGCAUUUGAAACUGCCUCGCUAGAGUCGCGGAGAGGAUGGCGGAAUUCCCGGUGUAGGGGUGAAAUCCAUAGAUAUCGGGAGGAACACCAGUGGCGAAGGCGGCCAUCUGGACGCUGACUGACGCUGAGGUCCGAAAGCGUGGGGAGCAAACA
rnacentral:rRNA from 1 species